UUUAUCAUGUCUUGAAUGUCAAGAUUUAUCUCUCAAAUGUCAAAUGUCUGAGGGUAUGCGGCCUUUGCAGUGACUCCCCAUCAAGAUUUCAUACUUUCUACGAGCCAUUGACUGCCUCGUGCCAUUCAUUCUUCUUUUUUCCUAACAAGAGAUUGUAUUGGGUGUCUUCUUUUCCUGCUCCACCACUGAGUGUUUUAGGAAGAUAAUACGGAUUUUGGUUUCUUCCUUAUGAAUCAUGGGGCGAUGCAUCUGAACCUGAUGAUGAGAAUUGUGCAUCACCUGCAGUUUCUGGACCUUGAGCUGACUGCGGCUCUUCUUUAAAUAUGAAGAAGAAUGUUUCCAACAGAAGAUAUAACCAUUAUCUCACUGAAUGAGCAGUUGUGACUAUAAUGUAUAUACUUCUAUCUUCUCACACCACCAAACUGACAGUCAAACAAGAGAGUUAAAGCACUGCCUGAAAUCAGUACUUGAAUGAAAAGAUAAAGUGUGGACCAGGGAAGAGGACUGCUAGAUAGACUUUGGGAUGUUCACACUUACAUAAAGGAGCUUUUUGUUAUUUAUCUGGAAUUCAAACUCAACUGGGUUGCCUAUGUUUUUGUUUUCUGAAUCUGGAAACUCUUAUUGAGGAUAAGGACAAUGCACUCUUGGAAAUCAGAAGAUUCCCAGGCACUAUUGCUCUUUCUUUCCCUCUCUAGCUAUUUUUAGUCCACGUCCUUUUCACCAUACAAAAUAUUGUUAUAGUCAUAACAUAUGUGCUUGCUUUGGUUGUACCUCUACAAUCAAUCCUGUAUACUAGAAUAGGAAAGUGAAACUAAAAGAGCUAACAUACCAUGUCAUUCCUCUGCUCAAAAAUCAUCAGAGACUCUUUGCUACAGAGAUAAAGUUCAAACCCCUAAGCAUGGAAUUCAAAGGCUUUCACGCUUCAUGCUUUUCUCUCACAACAUCCUUAAGUGAACUCCUUAAUGCAGCCAGAAGUGUUUUCUUCACUGAUGCAUGUUUCCUCUCAUAAACCUAUCUCAAUCUGAGGCUUAAAGUUUCCGUUUUCUGUUAAAGUUUCUCUAUCAUUCUGUAGAUCUGCAAUCAUAUCUCUGUAUACAUUUUCCAAAAUUGACAGUAAUCUCUUUCCUUAGAAUCACACUGAAUUUCAGAAAUACUUCAAAUUACACGUGUCUUGAGAAUUAACAUGUACUGUGUGGUAGGGUUGAUGCCAAACCCUUUAUGUAUC
ensembl:lncRNA novel transcript